rnacentral:rRNA from 1 species
GCUCCAAUAGCGUAUAUUAAAGUUGCUGCAGUUAAAAAGCUCGUAGUUGGAUUUCUGCUUGAAACAUUUUUGCCGGCCACGGUUUCGUGUGUUAGUGCUUGAUGUUCUGGCCAUCCUUCCAAUCGCCAUUGGCUUGUCUUCAUUGAUUGGUCAGUGGUAUUGGAUCUUUUUACUUUGAAAAAAUUAGAGUGUUUCAAGCA